UACGGUUAUCAUCUUCAUUUCUACAGUUGGAUUCAAAUUCCAUUCUCUCAUAGGGUCUCUUCUGUGGGAUUGAGCUUCUAUGAGAGUUGAUACUUCUUGCAGGGCUGUGAGAUUGAGCUCUUGGGUAUCUUCCGGAGUAUAGUAAUUUUUAACAGUACCAUGGGAGACAGGGUUUGAGGCAGACUGAGCAGGUAGUGAGCCUCCUUGCGGCUCCUCUGGAUUCUUAAACCUGGACAAUUCUUAUUUUCAUGGGUAAGCCUUAAGCAAUAUUGGCAAUGGUUUUUCAACUUUUUGUAGUUCAGGUAGACAAGGGUCUCCGAGCCAGUAGAAAACUCUACCACUGACUCUUUGAUUAAAGGUUGGAGCCCAUCUAGCAUGACUCUAAUAUUUGCAUAGUUCGGGGAGAUAUCCAUCUCCAUGACCUCACCUAAAUCUUCUCCUAUUGUUUGAAGCAUAGUCGGCUGCCAGAAAUGCUUGGGAAGACCCUGAACCUGCACCCAUAAAGGGAUUUUUGAUAGGAAGGCUUCGGAGAUAACUGUUUCCCACCUUUGCAGAAUGACUAUCCACUGGUUAAAGUGAUUCCAGCGGUUCACCAGGAAAGGCAGGAUGGCCCAUAGAUGUUGUCCAGAUGGAUUUGUGAGGCGCCCAAUGAGGGUGAGCAACUUCUCUUCGAUUAGGGCAGAACAAUCGAGUUCAGGGGCUUAUUUCUUUCUUGGUGGUGGGGAGUAACCUCGUGCUUUUCCUUUACCUUUCUGGUACGUAGGGAUUCUGUUGUUCAUACUUUCAGGGUAUUGGUUAGACAAAUUAAAGGCAAGGGUGGGGAGUUAAAGAUGCAGAGAGAAGGAGCCAAAUAUGUGAGAGUAGGUUCUGGCGUCGCAAACAUAAGAGAAAGGUAGCUAACAGUAGAGAUGGUUGAACGGAAUUACAAAGGAAAUUAAUCUUGUUGUUCUUCAGGGGCGGAAGCAGGGUUUGAAGGUUUGAGUAAGAGGAUGGAACGAAGAAACCAUUAAAUAAAUUUCUAACGGUUGGAUAAAGACCAGUAUAUGCUACCUUUUUUAGCAAAAAAGAGUAAGUGAGAUUUGGUUAAAGGCUUGCAUCUUAGUCCUUUGGAACUGUACCUGGCAGAGUUUUCCACCCUCUUUAUAAAUACCUAAGUUACAUAAACUAUGUCAUGUGUCCAUUUCUCACUAACUCUUUGUAUCAAAAGUAUCACGUUUUAGACAUAAAGAAAAAAAUCAAAACAUCACGUGUCUAUAUGAA